CGUGGAGCUCGACCUUAAUCUUCGGCACACGCUGAUCCCCAACUCAGAUAUGUUGAAGGUAAUUUGCAGAAGAUGUCAGAGACAAUGGAUUCAUUUGGAAAGCAGUUUGUGGACAUGGAGGUGCAGGCAGAGUUCAUGGAGAGUGCGAUGGUAGGUCAACCCCACUUUCCACUCCUGAAGGAGAAUUAAAUAGCUUGAUGUAGCAAGGAGCGUAUGAUUAUGGACUGGAUGUCUCCCUCGGUUUGCCACAACCAGCUGCACAUGCAGUUCCAGCUAAAUCAUCAGAGAAGGUCGAUGAAGAUUAUUUUUCAAGACGGCUUGCAGAGCUCAAGGCCAGCGGUUGAGAUGUCUAAAUUAUAUGAGAACGAGAUGUCAUUUAAUGUAAAACACAUGUUGGUAUGGGGAAUCCUGUUGGGGGUCCCAAGAUUCUUGUUAUUCCUGUGUAAAUUUGACUGGACUCGAACCCGGCUUCCUAUGAUCCUUGUGGUAUCUAGCAUCUACGCCGAGUUUUAUCUACUCUGUGAGUUUUCGUGCUCG